GACGAACCGUGCGAACGUUGUUCGGAAUCACUGGGUUUAAAGGGCGCGUAGGCGGGCUGUCAAGUCGGUGGUGAAAUCUUUCGGCUCAACCGGAAAUUGCCUUCGAUACGUGGCGGCCUGGAGGGAGGUAGGGCAUGCGGAACUUCCGGUGGAGCGGUGAAAUGCGUAGAUAAUCGGAAGGAACACCGAUGGCGAAAGCAGCGUGCUGGACCUUUUCUGACGCUGA
rnacentral:rRNA from 1 species